UACAGAGGUCUCAAGCGUUGUUCGGAUUCAUUGGGCGUAAAGGGUGCGUAGGUGGCGCUGUAAGUCGGGUGUGAAAUUUCGGAGCUUAACUCCGAAACUGCAUUCGAUACUGCGGUGCUUGAGGACUGGAGAGGAGACUGGAAUUCAUGGUGUAACAGUGAAAUGCGUAGAGAUCAUGAGGAAGACCAGUGGCGAAGGCGGGUCUCUGGACAGUUCCUGACACUGAGGCACGAAGGCCAGGGGAGCAAACGGG
rnacentral:rRNA from 1 species